rnacentral:rRNA from 1 species
CCUACGGUGUGCAGCAGUGAGGAAUAUUGGUCAAUGGGCGCGAGCCUGAACCAGCCAAGUAGCGUGAAGGAGGACUGCCCUACGGGUUGUAAACUUCUUUUAUAAAGGAAUAAAGUGAGGCACGUGUGCCUUGUUGUAUGUACUUUAUGAAUAAGGAUCGGCUAACUCCGUCCCAGCAGCCGCGGUAAUACGGAGGAUCCGAGCGUUAUCCGGAUUUAUUGGGUUUAAAGGGAGCGUAGUUGGGUUGUUAAGUGAGUUGUGAAAGUUUGCGGCUCAACAGUAAAAUUGCAAUUGAUACUGGCAGCCUUGAGUACAGUUGAGGUAGGCGGAAUUCGUGUGGUAGCGGUGAAAUGCUUAGAUAUCACGAAGAACUCCGAUUGCGAAGGCAGCUUACUAAACUGCCACUGACAUUGAUGCUCGAAAGUGUGGGUAUCAAACAGGAUUAGCUACCCGAGUAGUC